AGAACGAACGCUGGCGGCAGGCUUAACACAUGCAAGUCGAACGCGUGUAGCAAUACACGAGUGGCGCACGGGUGAGUAACGCGUGGAUAUCUGCCUUUUGGUUCGGAAUAACCCCGGGAAACUGGGGCUAAUACCGGAUGGUUCCUACGGGAUAAAGAUUUAUCGCCAAAAGAUGAGUCCGCGUCCGAUUAGCUAGUUGGUGGGGUAAUGGCCUACCAAGGCGACGAUCGGUAGCUGGUCUGAGAGGACGAUCAGCCACACUGGGACUGAGACACGGCCCAGACUCCUACGGGAGGCAGCAGUGGGGAAUAUUGGACAAUGGGGGCAACCCUGAUCCAGCCAUGCCGCGUGAGUGAUGAAGGCCUUCGGGUUGUAAAGCUCUUUGGUCGGGGACGAUGAUGACGGUACCGCAGAAUAAGCCCGGCUAACUUCGCGCCAGCAGCCGC
rnacentral:rRNA from 1 species